rnacentral:rRNA from 1 species
UACGUAGGGUGCAAGCGUUGUCCGGAAUUAUUGGGCGUAAAGAGCUCGUAGGCGGUUUGUCGCGUCUGCUGUGAAAACUCGGGGCUUAACUCCGGGCCUGCAGUGGGUACGGGCAGACUAGAGUGCGGUAGGGGAGACUGGAAUUCCUGGUGUAGCGGUGAAAUGCGCGAUAUCAGGAGGAACAGCCGGUGGCGAAGGCGGGUCUCUGGGCCGUAACUGACGCUGAGGAGCGAAAGCGUGGGGAGCGAACAGG